rnacentral:rRNA from 1 species
GACGAACGCUGGCGGUGUGCUUAACACAUGCAAGUCGAACGGUAAGGCCCUUUCGGGGGUACACGAGUGGCGAACGGGUGAGUAACACGUGAGUAACCUGCCCUCAUCUCUGGGAUAACAGUCGGAAACGGUUGCUAAUACUGGAUAUGAGCUUGCAAGGCAUCUUGUGGGUUGGAAAGAUUUUUUUUGGUUGGGGAUGGACUCGCGGCCUAUCAGCUUGUUGGUGAGGUAGUGGCUCACCAAGGCUUCGACGGGUAGCCGGCCUGAGAGGGCGACCGGCCACAUUGGGACUGAGAUACGGCCCAAACUCCUACGAGAGGCAGCAGUGGGGAAUAUUGCACAAUGGACGGAAGUCUGAUGCAGCAACGCCGCGUGCGGGAUGACGGCCUUCGGGUUGUAAACCGCUUUCAAUUGUGACGAAGCUUUUUUGUGACGGUAGCAGUAGAAGAAGCACCGGCUAACUACGUG